UACAGAGGUCCCGAGCGUUGUUCGGAUUCACUGGGCGUAAAGGGUGCGUAGGUGGUUGGGUAAGUUUGAUGUGAAAGCUCAGGGCUUAACCCUGAAAUGGCAUUGAAUACUACUUAACUGGAGGUUUGGAGGGGGGACUGGAAUUCCCGGUGUAGUGGUGGAAUGCGUAGAUAUCGGGAGGAACACCAGUGGCGAAGGCGGUUGCCUGGAGCUUUGCUGACGCUGAGGCGCGAAAGCGUGGGGAGCGAUCCGG
rnacentral:rRNA from 1 species